rnacentral:rRNA from 1 species
AGAGUUUGAUCCUGGCUCAGGAUGAACGCUGGCGGCGUGCCUAAUACAUGCAAGUCGAACGAAGUUUCGAGGAAGCUUGCUUCCAAAGAGACUUAGUGGCGAACGGGUGAGUAACACGUAGGUAACCUGCCCAUGUGUCCGGGAUAACUGCUGGAAACGGUAGCUAAAACCGGAUAGGUAUACAGAGCGCAUGCUCAGUAUAUUAAAGCGCCCAUCAAGGCGUGAACAUGGAUGGACCUGCGGCGCAUUAGCUAGUUGGUGAGGUAACGGCCCACCAAGGCGAUGAUGCGUAGCCGGCCUGAGAGGGUAAACGGCCACAUUGGGACUGAGACACGGCCCAAACUCCUACGGGAGGCAGCAGUAGGGAAUUUUCGUCAAUGGGGGAAACCCUGAACGAGCAAUGCCGCGUGAGUGAAGAAGGUCUUCGGAUCGUAAAGCUCUGUUGUAAGUGAAGAACGGCUCAUAGAGGAAAUGCUAUGGGAGUGACGGUAGCUUACCAGAAAGCCACGGCUAACUACGUGCCAGCAGCCGCGGUAAUACGUAGGUGGCAAGCGUUAUCCGGAAUCAUUGGGCGUAAAGGGUGCGUAGGUGGCGUACUAAGUCUGUAGUAAAAGGCAAUGGCUCAACCAUUGUAAGCUAUGGAAACUGGUAUGCUGGAGUGCAGAAGAGGGCGAUGGAAUUCCAUGUGUAGCGGUGAAAUGCGUAGAUAUAUGGAGGAACACCAGUGGCGAAGGCGGUCGCCUGGUCUGUAACUGACACUGAGGCACGAAAGCGUGGGGAGCAAACAGGAUUAGAUACCCUAGUAGUCCACGCCGUAAACGAUGAGAACUAAGUGUUGGAGGAAUUCAGUG